rnacentral:rRNA from 1 species
GACGGGGGGGGCAAGCGUUGUUCGGAAUUAUUGGGCGUAAAGGGCUCGUAGCGGAUCCGCCAGUUUGACGUGAAAUCUCCACCGCUCACCGGGGAGAGGUCGUUGAAUACUACGGAUCUGGAGUUCGGCAGAGGACCAUGGAAUUCCGGGUGUAGCGGUGGAAUGCGUAGAGAUCCGGAAGAACACCGGUGGCGAAGGCGGCCUGCUGGGCUAUGGCUGACACUGAGGCGCGACAGCGUGGGGAGCAAACAGG